ensembl:lncRNA
CACAGAUGCAUGAAAGAGGAGGAUGCUGUUCCUGAGCAAGCGUGGAGGAAGAUUGAGUUGUGCGUGGGAGGACAGAACAGGAGAACACUCCAGUUACUUGGGCCACUCCUCCAGCAAAUUUAAUAAGUAUUGUUAGAAAGUACUUUGCAAGGAAAAAUAAAGUUAAUCUCCUAAGCGUAGUUGAAUGAUGGGGCUGAGCUGGCAAUAAUAGUAAUUAAGAAAAAAACUUUAUUGAAAAAAAGUUGGCUAAUUUUCUACACCAUUCAGCUUUAUUCUGGGGGAAGAGGAGGUAGUGGUUUUUAUCACACAGUUUCCGAACUGGAUAAAUCACCCAAUCUAUAAGCCAUAACAAAUCCUUCUUCUGUUCCAGCUUUUUCUGAAGUUAUUUUUCCUCCAGAGAGGGAGAAUUGUAGCCCCAAACUUGAUUCAGAAAGGUCCAGGAUAUUCAAGCCUUCAAAGGUCAUUCAGACACAAACUAAGACAGACCAUCUCGCAAGCAUAUGGGGAUUGAGUUCAAAAUCAAAUCUAGGGUUUGGUGGAUCUUGGGAAGAGUACAGCUGUGGCAAUUUCAGUUCGAUGAAGCCAGAGGACCCUACACUGUUAAUGAAAUAUUACUCCUUUUCUUGGCAUCUCUCCGGUCAUUUUCAUCGUGACUUGUACUCAAAGCAGGGAUGUCUAUGUGCCUGGAUGGGACUGGACAUUCAAGAACUGAUCUCCGAGCAUCAUUCAGGAGCACCGAUUUCAAGAAAAGCCACCAUCGGGAUAGGACUGAAAUACAGAAGUGCUACCUCGAGAGGACAUAACCAGAUAGACUGCAAGGCAGAGGCAAGAUUUUCCCCAACAUCUUCAUACUGGUGAGCCUCGAGGUACUAUUUUUUUUUUUUUGGGGGGUGGGGGGGAGGGUGGGAUAAGGAAAUGCAUGGAGGGCAUUAAAUUGAGAAUAUGUUAAAACAGAACAACGACAGCAAAACAGAGUUUGUAUUUAUUCAGGCUUCACAUUAAGUAUCAAUGUCAGCAACUUCUGCUGAAGGAGGAAUGUUUGGACUUCACAGCAUACAGGACUGUGAGGCAUUAAGCCACCCUGAUGCAAAUUUGCUUAUCAUCAAGGAUACCUAGCAAAUAAGCAAGAAAAAAAAAUAUACAAGGAGCUUUGAUCAGCCCUGGCACUGUGUGUGAAACUCUAGCUUCAUUGGAAAGUGUCAGGGUAAGUGAAAGAAGGGCCUUUGUAAUUGUUGUCUUACAAUUAUGUCACUCACUCCUCUAGCCUUCAUUUUCCCUGUGCAAUUUGUAAGAGAUGAGUCAUUCAAAGUACCUCUGUUUACAGAGAGCCUCAGUAAUCCAACACUGUGGCCAGGCAGAUUCCAUGAACUGCAGACCCCAGUGUUGACAGAUGGGGUUUGUGAGUAAUUGUUUGAUGGGCACUGUGGGUGAGGCUGUAGGGAAGUAGCAGGAGAAAGGGGUUCUGUGGGUUUUUUUUGAGCUUGGAGGUCACGUCAGCUACCAGCAAGAGCAUCUUUCAGUGUUUUUUGAUUGCAUUGUUAUUUUGGUACUGGUGAUGAUAAAGUUUUAAACGGGGAGGGGCAAGGAGGAUACUUCUCUCAUCCUACACAGCUCUGCAGAUGCUGGUGUUAAUGUUAGCUAGGGGCAGGAUCUCAGGAGCUGCUCACUUUGCACCAGGCACGAGCCAGAAGAAAGGGAAUAUGAACAAAGUGGGGAUUGCUGCAUUCAUGCAGAGUAGUUUGUGUAGAAAAUGUCAAUCUGGUGAGCAAAGACAAAAUGAUAUGUCUGAAGAUGCAAAUUCUUUGCACAGAAUGGAUGUAGCAUAGACAGUAGUGCAAGUCAUUCUACACACUGAUAAAGUAGCCUUAGACCAGUUCAGUCUAUUUUUAUGGCUUGGUCAGUUUGGUGAUUAAAUCCAGCAGAUUUCCAUUCUGUAAUUAAACAACAACAACAAAAUAAUAAUAAUAAAAACAAAACAAAAACCA